rnacentral:rRNA from 1 species
CACGUAGGCACCAAGCGUUGUCCGGAUUUAUUGGGCGUAAAGAGCUCGUAGGCGGUUCAGUAAGUCAGGUGUGAAAUCUUUGGGCUUAACCCAAAGCGUGCACUUGAUACUGCUGUGACUUGAGUUCGGUAGGGGAGUGGGGAAUUCCUAGUGUAGCGGUGAAAUGCGCAGAUAUUCGCAAGAACACCAGUGGCGAAGGCGGCUCACUGGCCCGGUACUGACGCUGAGGUGCGAAAGCGUGGGGAGCAAACAGG